rnacentral:rRNA from 1 species
GACGAACGCUGGCGGUGUGCUUAACACAUGCAAGUGGUGCGAACAACCGGGGCUUUCUCUGCUGCAAAGCCGCGAACGGGUGGGUAACACAUGCGUAGUCUACCCCCCUAACAGGGACAACCCAAUGACACUCGGGCUAAUAACUGCUGUAUAACGUUGUCAUCCGUCUGUUUCCUAAAUGUAACUUGGUCUUCCUCUUUGUUAGAGGCCGACCCCCGAUUCAUUAGCUGGUUGGUGGGGUACCGGCCUACCAAGGCAACGAUGCGUAGCCGGCCUGAGAGGAUGAUCAGCCACACUGGGACUGAGACACGGCCCAGACUCCUACGGGAGGCAGCAGUGGGGAAUCUUGCGCAAUGGGCGAAAGCGUGACGCAGCAACACCGCGUGAGGGAAGAAGGUCUUAGGGUCGUAAAACUCUGUCAGAUGGGACGAAGGUUUGCCGGUGAAUAGCUGAGAGGAUUGACGGUACCUACACAAGAAGCCACGGCUAACUACGUG